GACGAAGGGGGCUAGCGUUGUUCGGAAUUACUGGGCGUAAAGCGCGUGUAGGCGGUUGUCCAAGUUGGAUGUGAAAGCCUUGAGCUUAACUCAAGAAAUGCAUUCAGGACUGGAUGACUAGAGGACCGGAGAGGAUAGUGGAAUUCCCAGUGUAGUGGUGGAAUACGUAGAGAUUGGGAAGAACACCAGUGGCGAAGGCGGCUAUCUGGACGGUUUCUGACGCUAAGACACGAAAGCGUGGGGAGCAAACAGG
rnacentral:rRNA from 1 species